CCUUGCUGCUUGCACACAAAUUAAGAGAGCACAACACAACAAAGCUUUUGAGGUUUCUGGUUUUGAACGUGACAAGCAUGUGCGGUUAAUUCUCUUUUUAUCACCUCUGGGUGUAGGGUUAGUGUUAGUAGUUCAAUUCAACAUGUUCAUACUUACUUUUGAUUUAGAUUUUGUUCUAAUAAUUCAGUUAGUCGAAUCUUUGUGUUUACUUUAAUGAAUUAAACCGUUCUAGGAUUAUAAACAUAAACUCGUUUUCGUCAGAUAUUUGGUUUUCUUUAACAACAAUUUGAUUAAAUUCUAAGUUGUCAUUGUUUUUUACCUUUAUCCAUUAAAUUCGAUUAUGUUUUUUUACAACCAGAAUUGGUAAUUAAGCAGAUUACUAAUCAGUUACAUCAAUAUUUUGGUUUUCUAUUGUAGUUCAUUGCAACCAAAUAUAUUAUCUUUUAAUUAUCUAUCGAAACAAGUAACAUAACGAAUCAUGUCCAUUUGAUUUCCAAUUGAUACAAACUAGUUUAUUCGAUCUGCUUCACAACCUGAAACCCAGAGAUUGAACCAUAUUGUUUACAACUCAAUUUAAGUUUUCAUUAGUUUUAGUUUUUUUUUUUUUUUUUGAACGGUAAAUUUGGAUCACUGACGGACUACUGGAGUAUUAUCGUGUCACCAACGGAACCACCCAAUCAUAUCCAUCUCCACUAGCACUACAAGAAAAUGGGGUGCCGCUAAAGUGGGACACCGGGUUACGGAUCGACCACUAGCGGCGACAUAUGGCCUGUCGCCGCUAUUGGUGUCGCCGCUAUUGCUCAACUUUCUUGUAAUGUAGACAAUAAUACUUAUACACCAAUUCAGGAGGAAACCUAGUAAAUCUGAGAAAACCUCCUUGUGAGAAUCGAACUCAUGACUUAAUGGUCAUAAGUCUUAUUCCACCCCAAAAUGCAACUAGGCUAUAAUUCCCUGGGCAUUAGUUUUAGUUAAUCAAUAAAGAACAAAAGUUAUUUUAAUUUAAGUUUUAAAUUAAAUCUUCAAACAAAACGUAUAACAAUGACUACAUACUUCUCGUGGAUACCAUACCCUACUUACUCUAACUAACUAGUUCAUUUAAGUGUUUGCUUGAGUGGAAAGAUGCUUUGGAACAAAAAUUGUACAAAAUGACACAUGGAGUCUAAUUGCAAAGCCAGAGUUGGCACAGAAUGACACAUGGAGUCUAAUUGCAAAGCCAACUGAUACUAAACCUAUUCCGUGUAAGUAGAUUUUUGAUAUAAAAAUCGGCAUAUGGAUCAGUCGAAAGGUACAUGGUCCUGUUAGGUGCAAGGGUUUUUUUUAUAAAGGUACCAUAAUGAUGCUUUCCAUCCUCGCAGUUGCUGCAAGUAAGGUUUUGGAUUUAUGGUACAUGGAGUUAAAGAAGGCGAUCUAUGGGUUGAAUUAGUCAUCAAGAGUUUGGUUUGAGAAGAUUGGUGAAUUUCUAGAGCAUAAUGGUAAGGUCCUAUACUAGUCGAUACUAGUGUUUUGUUCGAGUCGAGUGAGAUAGGACCGUCGUUAUUCUUGUGUAUGUGGAUGAUUUGAUUAUCACUGGUGACUUGGUUUAUGUGGUGAAGCGUAAACCAAAUUUAUGUACUCGCUUUUCAUGAAGGACUUAGGAAGAUUGAACACUACCUAAGUUUAGAACUUGUGUAUGAGACGGGUGGAUUCAUACUUCAUCAAAACCGACAUGUCUUGAUUUAUUGGUGAUGUUUUGGAAUGGAAAGUUGCAAGCCGGUAAAUAUACCCAUGGCACAAAAUUUGUCAAUUUGAACUGCGGAAUGGGGGUUUAGAGGAUGUUACUAUGUAUAGACGAAUCAUGGAUAGUCUCAUUUACUUAACUUUAACUCGACCAUACAUUGCUUAUGUCGUUGGCGUCUUAAGCAAAUAUGUUUAAGCUUCAAGGAAACCACACCUUAAGGCUGCUCGGUUAGUCCUACACUACGUGAAAAUGACUCCUAGCUAUGGAGCUAAGUUUAAGGAGUCAAAAGUGGAGUUAAUCGGAUUUUUGUGAUGCCGAUUAUGCAAAAGAUCCUGAUACUAGGCGCUACACUACCCGUUAUGUAUUCUUGAUUGGUUCGAGUGUUGUUACAUGGUUAGGAAAAGACAGCCUAUGGUGUCACUCUCGACUACCGAAGCUGAGUAUCGUGCAGCGGCUAUGGCUGCUCAAGAGUGUGUGUGGCUUGUUUGAUUGUUAAAGGAGCUAAACCAGGGUGCGGAUGAAAGGGUUAUGUAUGGUGACAACGUGUCUUCCAUAUUAUCGGCUGAGAAUCCGACGUUUUACACCAAAAUGAAGCAUAUAGAGGUUCACAAAGAAUUUUCCUAUAGAGAAGCUAAUGAAGUUUUAUGCACUUUUGGGAAUAAAGAAAGCAAAUUUCGAGAGGGGGUAAUGAACGAGACAAUAUUAGGGCGGUUAAGUUGAUCUCAAGGGGUGGUAGGAGAAGAUCAUUUAAAGUCUAUGGACUAACAGUAUAAGUUGCCUUAUUUUUGGAGUCUUAAUUUUAAUUAGAAAUUUUGUAGGACUAUGUUUCCUAUUUUAAUUA